rnacentral:lncRNA from 1 species
CUUCUACACAGAUUACUCUACAUCUUUCCUUGAGUCUGGAGAGCACAGGAAAUCCUGCCUUCUCAUGUACUUUCACUAAAGGAAGUGUAAACCUGUGUAAUGGGUCUGAUCCGCCUGCAGUUUUCCCAAAUUGCUCCUGUAGUUUUUCUGACCAGCUACAAUAUACUGGAGGUUUAAGAGUCUCUGCUACUGUUACUAUUGAAGAUCAGAAGAUCACAGAGAUGCUGACACUGACAAACUGCUCCACUAUCACUGAAAAUUCACCAAAUGUUUCUUAUACACGGUGUGUGCAGUGUGUCUCAGCUGGGUGUCACUGGCCCUCUUCCUCCAAACGUUGUGAAUGGACAGAUGGAAGUGGGCUGCAGUUACACAUACAGGAUGCAUGUAAAUAUCUACUGUCUGAGAUGG